AUUGAACGCUGGCGGCAUGCCUAACACAUGCAAGUCGAACGGCAGCACAGCCCGCAAGGGUGGGUGGCGAGUGGCGGACGGGUGAGGAAUACAUGGGAAUCUACCCUGUCGUGGGGGAUAACGUAGGGAAACUUACGCUAAUACCGCAUACGACCUCCGGGUGAAAGCGGCGGACCGCAAGGCGUCGCGCGACUGGAUGAGCCCAUGUCGGAUUAGCUAGUUGGCGGGGUAAAGGCCCACCAAGGCGACGAUCCGUAGCUGGUCUGAGAGGAUGAUCAGCCACACUGGAACUGGGACACGGUCCAGACUCCUACGGGAGGCAGCAGUGGGGAAUAUUGGACAAUGGGCGCAAGCCUGAUCCAGCAAUGCCGCGUGGGUGAAGGAGGCCUUCGGGUUGUAAAGCCCUUUUGUACGGGAAGAAAUCCUGUCGGUUAAUACCCGGCGGGGAUGACGGUACCGUAAGAAUAAGCACCGGCUAACUUCGUGCCAGCCGCCGCGGUAA
rnacentral:rRNA from 1 species